rnacentral:rRNA from 1 species
CCGUAACAAGGUUUCCGUAGGUGAACCUGCGGAAGGAUCAUUA